CGGUGGAGUAUGUGGUUUAAUUCGAUGCAACGCGAAGAACCUUACCUGGUCUUGACAUCCCGGAGACCCUUAGGAAACUAGGGGGUGCUUCCAUCUGGAAGAAUCUGGAGACAGGUGCUGCAUGGCUGUCGUCAGCUCGUGUCGUGAGAUGUUGGGUUAAGUCCCGCAACGAGCGCAACCCUUGCCUUUAGUUGCCAGCAGUUCGGCUGGGCACUCUAAAGGGACUGCCGGUGUUAAACCGGAGGAAGGUGGGGAUGACGUCAAGUCCUCAUGGCCUUUAUGACCAGGGCUACACACGUACUACAAUGGCCGAUACAAAGGGCAGCGACACUGCGAGGUGAAGCCAAUCCCGUAAAAUCGGUCUCAGUCCGGAUUGGAGUCUGAAACUCGACUUCAUGAAGUUGGAAUCGCUAGUAAUCGCGCAUCAGCAUGGCGCGGUGAAUACGUUCCCGGGCCUU
rnacentral:rRNA from 1 species